CUCAUGUCCUUGCGAGGUGCGCAGGCGCCGAAACGAUGCCAACAUGGGGUCACCACUGCCCCUUAUAUAUUAGCGGGAUAAACCACAGCAGUCAGUGUUCAACGGACAACCAAAAGAAUCAAAAUGUUCAAGUUUGUGAUCUUCUUCGCUCUCCUGGCUUUCGCCUGUGCCAAGCCUCUUGUGUACACUGCACCUUUUGCUGCGGCGUACACUGCACCAGUUGCCGCAGCGUACACGGCUCCUGUAGCGUACUCAGCGUACAGCGCCUAUUCGCCGGUUGCAUACUCCGCCUACACCUAUGCUUCACCUUACUCAUACUACCUUUAAAAAUAUAUUUUGAUUAUAAACGACGACUGUUAUCAAUUGUUAAAAGUUAUGUUACAAUGGCGACCGAUUUAUUUAUAUUUACAAUGUCAGUACAAUAAAUCAAUUAUAUAACUGAAUAA